rnacentral:tRNA from 1 species
CGGGGCGUAGCUUAGCCCGGUAGAGCGCCUGCUUUGGGAGCAGGAGGCCGCGGGUUCGAAUCCCGCCGCCCCGA